CUGGCGGCGUGCCUAUCAUGCAAGUCGAGCGAACUGAUUAGAAGCUUGCUUCUAUGACGUUAGCGGCGGACGGGUGAGUAACACGUGGGCAACCUGCCUGUAAGACUGGGAUAACUUCGGGAAACCGAAGCUAAUACCGGAUAGGAUCUUCUCCUUCAUGGGAGAUGAUUGAAAGAUGGUUUCGGCUAUCACUUACAGAUGGGCCCGCGGUGCAUUAGCUAGUUGGUGAGGUAACGGCUCACCAAGGCAACGAUGCAUAGCCGACCUGAGAGGGUGAUCGGCCACACUGGGACUGAGACACGGCCCAGACUCCUACGGGAGGCAGCAGUAGGGAAUCUUCCGCAAUGGACGAAAGUCUGACGGAGCAACGCCGCGUGAGUGAUGAAGGCUUUCGGGUCGUAAAACUCUGUUGUUAGGGAAGAACAAGUACGAGAGUAACUGCUCGUACCUUGACGGUACCUAACCAGAAAGCCACGGCUAACUACGUGCCAGCAGCCGCGGUAAUACGUAGGUGGCAAGCGUUAUCCGGAAUUAUUGGGCGUAAAGCGCGCGCAGGCGGUUUCUUAAGUCUGAUGUGAAAGCCCACGGCUCAACCGUGGAGGGUCAUUGGAAACUGGGGAAACUUGAGUGCAAAAGAGAAAGCGGAAUUCCACGUGUAGCGGUGAAAUGCGUAAAGAUGUGGAGGAACACCAGUGG
rnacentral:rRNA from 1 species